GAUAGAUCUAUGAUGUUUCUCAAAAACUGCGUUAUCUUCCUGAACCAUUGGUCUUGAAGAAGAAUAAAUGAUUCUGAGAUCUGUA